rnacentral:rRNA from 1 species
AACGAACGCUGGCGGCAUGCCUAACACAUGCAAGUCGAACGAUCCCUUCGGGGAUAGUGGCGCACGGGUGCGUAACGCGUGGGAACCUGCCCUUAGGUUCGGAAUAACUCAGAGAAAUCUGAGCUAAUACCGGAUAAUGUCUUCGGACCAAAGAUUUAUCGCCUUUGGAUGGGCCCGCGUUGGAUUAGCUAGUUGGUGGGGUAAAGGCCUACCAAGGCGACGAUCCAUAGCUGGUCUGAGAGGAUGAUCAGCCACACUGGGACUGAGACACGGCCCAGACUCCUACGGGAGGCAGCAGUGGGGAAUAUUGGACAAUGGGCGAAAGCCUGAUCCAGCAAUGCCGCGUGAGUGAUGAAGGCCUUAGGGUUGUAAAGCUCUUUUACCCGGGAUGAUAAUGACAGUACCGGGAGAAUAAGCCCCGGCUAACUCCGUG